rnacentral:tRNA from 1 species
AAUAAAAUGCCUGAAUUAAAGGGUUAUCUUGAUAGGAUAAAACAUGUAAUUAUUUGUUACUUUUAUUA